CAGGAGCACGCGCACGAGGUGCGUGGUCACCGGGCCAGAGGACGCGACCUUCUUGAGGUACUCGACCACUGCAAGAGCGCGGCAAUCGGAACGAGCACACGUCAGAAAUCCAGUCA
rnacentral:lncRNA from 1 species